rnacentral:rRNA from 1 species
CCCUAGUCUGGGGCCGACGGGCUGGGGAAAGUCAAGUUGUGCUUGUUUGCGCUGUCCCUCCCCUUUUUUUUAGAAUAUGCUGGCCCAGUCCCUCUCGCUCUCUCCUCCCGUCUCUCCCCUUCCGCUACCCCCGCCGCUUCUCUUCGCCCCGACUCUUCCCCGAGGAGACCUCCGACGGCCUCCAGUGGAGUUCCCUCGAGCCGUUCUAGCCGGGGCGGAAGCCCGAGCCGUAGCCGACGCCGCGACCGCGGCCUCAGCCGAAGAAGCCGCCACGUCCUAAUCCAAUACCUAAAGGACCUGAGUGAAAUCCGAAGCCUCAACCUCGACCGACGCCAUAUCCUAAACCAAAACCAAUACCGAACCCGUUUCCUUAACGAGUACUACUUUUCUCUUCUGUAAGUUUGCAACCAUUUUACAAGGUCCUUUGAGGUUUAGACGGAUUCAUUCAUGACACACCCGUACUUUAUAAAUCUCCCUAAACACGUUGUCUGUAAUAAUAUGCACGAUACGGAACAACGGAUUGGAACAUUAGAGAUAAUAGAAACUUCACAAAUGAGAUCAAUGUCAACCAGUACAUUCACUUAAACCUUCUUCUCGUUAGACCUCCCAUUUCACCUUAAUAAUAGUUGACCGAACUUUGUUUGUGAGGGUCAUCAACUAUUUCUCGUUCUCUUUUAACUGAACACAUAGAAAAAAAUAACUAUAACAAACUUGAAUUUUAUGCAUCGAAUGGUUUACUCUAACCUCUUUCUUGGAAUUUGUUCGAACGAAUACGAAACUUUACUUUUCUAUAGAAGUUCGUCAGGGUGCGUAUUAUCAAUAGGUUUGACCCCACUAACCGUCAAACUGACCUUAUUGGGACUUGUUCUCGAAAUAAGUCAUAACGUCACACUUUCCGUUUUCCUUCUUUUACUUGUCUCACCAGUUAAGGUACGGUCUCGGUUUAGAUAAAAUUGAACUCGAGGUUAGGAACGGGUGUAAACCGUAAUGUUAUACUGGAAUAUUCAAUAUAAUACCAUGGCAUUGUAUAAUCGUGGAUCCUCACAAGUUCAUGCCCAACUAGGGUUGGGCAGGUUUUGGCCGACAAUUCGGUAUCAAGUAAAAGGAAGAAAGGUACACUACACUCGUCACUACGGUAAAACUUUUAAAUAUACACUACCAAGUGAUUACUGACCAACUUGACUCUGGUAAAAACUUGUGGGGAUAAUCGUGAUGAACAAAGCAGGUCUGAGUAUAUGAUAUGUGUAUAAUAUCCGCACGUUGUGAACUACUGAACUUGCGGAUUUUACUUCACCUUUAUAAAUCGCUGUUCACGUUUGGUACCUUUUGGUGUUGUUAAAAAAACACAAGGAAUGACUUGUAACAUUUUACCGUAAAGAUACACUUGAUUACGAUUGAAUUACUAACACAGCACAGAACAACUUUUACUGGGACUUUCCGGCUUUGCCACAUUUAACGGACCUCCUUAGAUUAGUGUGUUGGAUUAGGGACUUCGGACUUGGGUGCUCGAAAAUCUCCUGGUCACUUCUCAGAAGUGUUAGAGUAAGAGAUAGUCCUACCAUUGUCCACGUUAUCACCCUAUAAACUUCACUGUAGGUUCAUAGAGCACAUGCGUAUUACAUUGAUACGGGUGUUUUUGUUUGUUUUAUCGUAGAGUAAGGACUGAGGACUGUAUUUGAUGUUAUAGCGUGAGACGAUAAUGAGAUAGAGAGCUGUCGUACUCCCAAAGCUUAUUUAUCUGGACCAUCUUACAAUGUCUUUUGACUAAACAAUCAUAAUUAAAGUCUUAAACUCGAUGAAGUCGUGUCUAACAAACUCUAAAACAAAAUACACGUUGUUUUUGACGUAAAAAAAGAGCAUAAUCUGUAUUGAAUUAGUCAAAACAAAACAGUACCAAUUUUUAGUUCAACUCCGGGGUUGUGAUGAAUAAGGAGAGAGUCAAUUACGUUUACACAAAAUGACGUCAUUAUACGGUUAUAAAAAAAAAGACUUUUAACAUCAUAUUUUAUAUUGUAUUAAACUAAACUACAGAUGAAACUUUGGAACUUCUAGACACGUUCAAGAGACAAACACUACUCUUCCUUUGAUUCAUAAUAGAGUGGGAGCGUAUCGAAUUAGAAACAAAGAGUACCAACUUUAAGCAGUUCAACGAUGGAAUACCGUAAACGGUGUGGGUCUUCUAUUGAAGUUAAAAGUACCUUUUCUUACACAUAACAAGGUACCAACGAGUGGGAAAGGAGAAGAGAUAAGGUCCCUAUGGUAACGACCAAACAAACUGCUCAACCAACAUUUGUGGUUUUUCGAACGGUGGCGUUGAAGUUUUGUCUAACUUUUUACCGUGACUCGACGUGGUGGUCUACCGACGACGAUAAACGAUAGAAUCUACCACUAAUCAACCUAUCUUUGAUGACACAGUGUAAUUAUAGGGUAAAACUUGUAAACAUUCAUCCAAACAUAAGUUCAUCCCAAGACUGUAAUACGAUAUCCCGAACAAACUUUAAGACCUUUACAACUUGUAACACCAUCAAUUCUUUCUUUUAAGCUUGGCUACCUACGAAAAAUACUAACAACGUGUACAGCCGAAUACAAGACAAUGAUCACAACGAGUAGAGUAUAUAAUUUUGAACUCAGACUAAACCACGACAGUUUAACACUACCUAGAGACCCACACACACACCAGACCUUGAGAACAGAACCAAGAGAGGUAGAGAGUAACCUAUAGACAGGGAUAGACAAUACAAACCUGGUUAACCAUAGAGUACCGAGGACUAUUUGCUCUAUUGUUCGCCGGGAUUACCACGGUGUAGUCGUGGGAGUAGACGG